UACGUAGGGGGCAAGCGUUAUUCGGAAUUACUGGGCGUAAAGGGCGCGUAGACGGUGUGGCAAGUCUGAUGUGAAAGGCAUGGGCUCAACCUGGGAACUGCAUUGGAAACUGUCAUGCUAGAGUGCCGGAGAGGUAAGCAGAAUUCCAAGUGUAGCGGUGAAAUGCGUAGAGAUUAGGAGGAACACCAGUGGCGAAGGCGGCCCCCUGGAC
rnacentral:rRNA from 1 species